UAAUCAUCAAUUAAAGAAACAUAGUACUUCAAUACCUCCAUAUUUAUGUUUGUUAAAGUGUAGUGUAUAUGCGUCUGGAGACCUCAUAUAUCGUCCUUAAUUAAGUAAGGAGUAAACAAAGACCAACAGACGAGCGAGACGCAGCCGGGAUGCUGGCAGAAGUGGGUUUGAUGGUCG